rnacentral:lncRNA from 1 species
UGCGGACCAGGCUGUGCUGAGGUCGUGAGCCCCAUCUCCUUGGUUAUGGUGCUUAUGUCAGGCAUGGGUACUCGGGAGCAGAGUCAAUCUCGGGUGAUCCUGGCAGCUAUGCACAAAGAAGAGGGAGUUUGUUCCUCUGAUAGAUGGCCUUGCUGAGUGCUGUUUUGCCCCUGCAGGGUCCAGACCCACCUGUGAGGCAGACAGGAUAGCAGAGGUAGGAGUCAGAGACCGAUUCCUGAUGGCUUCUUUUGCUUAAGCCACUUUGAGUUGGAUUUCUGUUACUUGCAACCAUGCGCCCUGACUCGAGGAGAAAAGCUACCCACUAUGUUGAAAACGCAGAAUCAUCACACAAAUGGGCAAGUUCCACAGUCCGCAGUGUGAUCCACCCCAAGGCCCAGGCGUCCACAGCAACCUAUCUAGACUGGGACACCAAGGAGGAGAGCUGUCAAGUCAGAGGGGAGCAGAACUACCAGGGUCUGCACCCCAUCAGCACCUGCAGCAGAGACAGACAGACUCUGGCGGAUGCAGUGGCCAGUUCCCCGAAAGGAAGGGGGCUGUGCUGCGCAAGGCGGGCCCUGGAUAUGAAGCUAAGGAAUAGGAGUGUCCUGGUCACUAGGAAUGAACGUGCUUCCUGAAUUAGCUAAGAGCUCACUGGCACCCCAUGUGGGUAGCAGAGAUCAGUGCUGGGCCCCUCUGAGGCCGGGCUUCCUGAAAGCUCAUCCGUGAACGGCAGACCGAGCUCCUAAAUGGCCCACCCUCCGUUCGCCAAAAGGAGGUAGGUUUGGGGCCUGAGGGAUGUGGUGGGUAGCCUGGUGUGCCUGCAGUGGCAGACGAGGGGAGUGGGGUUCUUACUGGCUGAGGUGCAGGCCCAUUUCCUGGAGGGCUUGUUCCUGCUCCUCGCAGAUCUUCUGCAGCUCUGCCUUCUCGUCCUGAAGCUCCCGCAACUCCUAAAAUGAACAAACCAACCAGAUGCUGGAC